UCGAGUUAGGGUCUCUCAUGGCCCGAUCUCCCAACCCUUGUGUUUAAACAUUCCACGUUGCUUCGGCAGGCCCGUCGACCCUCCGGGGGAGACCGCUGGACUCGUCACAGAGUCUGGCCCGCGUCUGUCGAUAGCCCAACUUCAAACUCUUGAUUAAACGUGUCGUCUGAGUUUAUAAUUAAAUUAAAACA
rnacentral:misc_RNA from 1 species